UUCCGUUUUGGACACUUUUCCGCGCCAAUAUGCUAAUAUUUUUCCGUUUUGGGCACUUUUCCGUGCCAAUAUGCUAAUUCUUGUCCGUUUUGGGCACUUUUCCGUGCCAAUAUGCUAAUUUUUUUCCCGUUGUGGACACUUUUCGGUGCCAAUAUGCUAAUUUUUUCCCGUUUUGGGCACUUUUCCGUGCCAAUAUGCUAAUUUUUUUCCGUUUUGGAAACUUUUCCG
rnacentral:lncRNA from 1 species